rnacentral:rRNA from 1 species
GACAGAGGGUGCAAACGUUGUUCGGAAUUACUGGGCGUAAAGCGCGUGUAGGCGGCCCUGCAAGUCGGAUGUGAAAUCCCACGGCUCAACCGUGGAAGUGCAUUCGAGACUGCAGGGCUAGAGUCCUGGAGAGGAAGGUGGAAUGCUUGGUGUAGAGGUGAAAUUCGUAGAUAUCAAGCGGAACACCGGUGGCGAAGGCGGCCUUCUGGACAGUGACUGACGCUGAGACGCGAAAGCGUGGGGAGCAAACAGG